UAGGGAAUCUUCCACAAUGGACGCAAGUCUGAUGGAGCAACGCCGCGUGAGUGAAGAAGGUCUUCGGAUCGUAAAGCUCUGCUGUUGGUGAAGAAGGAUAGAGGCAGUAACUGGUCUUUAUUUGACGGUAAUCAACCAGAAAGUCACGGCUAACUACGUGCCAGCAGCCGCGGUAAUACGUAGGUGGCAAGCGUUGUCCGGAUUUAUUGGGCGUAAAGCGAGCGCAGGCGGAAUGAUAAGUCUGAUGUGAAAGCCCACGGCUCAACCGUGGAACUGCAUCGGAAACUGUCAUUCUUGAGUGCAGAAGAGGAGAGUGGAACUCCAUGUGUAGCGGUGGAAUGCGUAGAUAUAUGGAAGAACACCAGUGGCGAAGGCGGCUCUCUGGUCUGCAACUGACGCUGAGGCUCGAAAGCAUGGGUAGCGAACAGGAUUAGAUACCCUGGUAGUCCAUGCCGUAAACGAUGAGCGCUAGGUGUUGGGGACUUUCCGGUCCUCAGUGCCGCAGCAAACGCAUUAAGCGCUCCGCCUGGGGAGUACGACCGCAAGGUUGAAAC
rnacentral:rRNA from 1 species